rnacentral:rRNA from 1 species
UAAGGAAUAUUGGUCAAUGGACGCAAGUCUGAACCAGCCAUGCCGCGUGGAGGAUUAAGGCCCUCUGGGUUGUAAACUUCUUUUAUAUGGGAAGAAAUGUACUUUUUCUAAAGUGCUUGACGGUACCAUAGGAAUAAGCACCGGCUAACUCCGUGCCAGCAGCCGCGGUAAUACGGAGGGUGCAAGCGUUAUCCGGAUUUACUGGGUUUAAAGGGUGCGUAGGCGGAUGAAUAAGUCAGUGGUGAAAUCUCCGAGCUUAACUCGGAAACUGCCGUUGAUACUAUUUGUCUUGAAUAUUGUGGAGGUAAGCGGAAUAUGUCAUGUAGCGGUGAAAUGCUUAGAUAUGACAUAGAACACCAAUUGCGAAGGCAGCUUGCUACACAAUCAUUGACGCUGAGGCACGAAAGCGUGGGGAUCAAACA